rnacentral:rRNA from 1 species
CCAAGGAGUCUAACAUGUGCGCGAGUCGCAGGGUGCUCGCAAAAUAAAUUGAACCCGAAACCCGAAGGCGCAAUGAAAGUGAAGGUUGGUGGCCUGACCGACCGAGGCGGGAUCCGUUUCAGACUUCUACCGUGGGGAACUCCGCGGGAGUCUGGCGGCGCACCGCCGGCCCGUCUCGACCGCUUCUUGUCGGCGAGGCGGAGCAAGAGCGCACACGUUGGGACCCGAAAGAUGGUGAACUAUGCUCGGGCAGGACGAAGCCAGAGGAAACUCUGGUGGAGGUCCGUAGCGAUUCUGACGUGCAAAUCGAUCGUCGGACCCGAGUAUAGGGGCGAAAGACUAAUCGAACCGUCUAGUAGCUGGUUCCCUCCGAAGUUUCCCUCAGGAUAGCUGGUGCUCGGUGAGGAACGCAGUCUCAUCCGGUAAAGCGAAUGAUUAGAGGCCUUGGGGCCGAAACGACCUCAACCUAUUCUCAAACUUUCAAUGGGUGAGAAAUCCGGCUUGCCUUGACUGAAGCCCGGAUCGUUGAAUGAUGAGGGGCUAGCUUGCUAGCCUGCUCGGAACGGAUGCGAGUGCCCAGUGGGCCAUUUUUGGUAAGCAGAAUNNNNNNNNNNNNNNNNNNNNNNNNNNNNNNNNNNNNNNNNNNNNNNNNNNNNNNNCAGACCCCAUGAAAGGUGUUGGUUGCUAUAGACAGCAGGACGGUGGCCAUGGAAGUCGGAAUCCGCUAAGGAGUGUGUAACAACUCACCUGCCGAAGCAACUAGCCCUGAAAAUGGAUGGCGCUCCAGCGUCRAGCCCAUACCCAGCCGCCGGGGCAGAGACUUUGUGGAUUGCAAAUGAAAUGCCCCGGUGAGUAGGAGGUGUCGCGGCGGUGUGCGUCGAAGGGGUCGGGCGUAAGCCCGCCUGGAGCCGCCGCCGGUGCAGAUCUUGGUGGUAGUAGCAAAUACUCGAGUGAGAACCUUGAGGACUGAAGUGGAGAAGGGUUCCAUGUGAACAGCAGUUGAACAUGGGUCAGUCGGCCCUAAGGAAUAGGGGAAACCCGUUCCGAAACGGGGUGUCGUGCUAAACCAGAAAGCAGAACUGGCUAAAACAAACACGACCCCGGCAGACCGAAAGGGAAUCGGGUUAAUAUUCCCGAACCCGGAUGCGGAGGUCGGACCCUUCGGGGUCCGAUGCGGUAACGCAAACGAACUCGGAGACGUCGGCGGGAGUCCCGGGAAGAGUUGUCUUUUCUUUGUAAGGGACGGACUCCCUGGAAUCGGCUCGCCCGGAGAGAGGGAUGUUGUUCCCGUAAAGCACCGCGGCUCUUGCGGUGUCCGGAGCGCUCCCGCCGGCCCUUGAAAAUCCGAGGGAGAGAAUUCGAUUUUCGCACCGGACCGUACCCAUAUCCGCAGCAG